rnacentral:rRNA from 1 species
GAUGAACGCUGGCGGCGUGCCUAAUACAUGCAAGUCGAGCGAACAGACGAGGAGCUUGCUCCUCUGACGUUAGCGGCGGACGGGUGAGUAACACGUGGAUAACCUACCUAUAAGACUGGGAUAACUUCGGGAAACCGGAGCUAAUACCGGAUAAUAUAUUGAACCGCAUGGUUCAAUAGUGAAAGACGGUUUUGCUGUCACUUAUAGAUGGAUCCGCGCCGCAUUAGCUAGUUGGUAAGGUAACGGCUUACCAAGGCAACGAUGCGUAGCCGACCUGAGAGGGUGAUCGGCGACACUGGAACUGAGAAACGGUACAGACUCCUACGGGAGGCAGCAGAAGGGAAUAUUCCGCAAUGGGCGAAAGCCUGACGGAGCAACGCCGCGUGAGUGAUGAAGGUCUUAGGAUCGUAAAACUCUGUUAUGAGGGAAGUACAAAUGUGUAAGUAACUAUGCACGUAGUGACGGUAACUAAUCAGAAAGCCACGGCUAACUACGUG